rnacentral:rRNA from 1 species
CCUACGGGAGGCACCAGUGGGUAAUAUUGCACAAUGGGCGCAAGCCUGAUGCAGCCAUGCCGCGUGUAUGAAGAAGGCCUUCGGGUUGUAAAGUACUUUCAGCGGGGAGGAAGGCGAUAAGGUUAAUAACCUUGUCGAUUGACGUUACCCGCAGAAGAAGCACCGGCUAACUCCGUGCCAGCAGCCGCGGUAAUACGGAGGGUGCAAGCGUUAAUCGGAAUUACUGGGCGUAAAGCGCACGCAGGCGGUCUGUCAAGUCGGAUGUGAAAUCCCCGGGCUCAACCUGGGAACUGCAUUAGAAACUGGCAGGCUGGAGUCUUGUAGAGGGGGGUAGAAUUCCAGGUGUAGCGGUGAAAUGCGUAGAGAUCUGGAGGAAUACCGGUGGCGAAGGCGGCCCCCUGGACAAAGGCUGACGCUCAGGUGCGAAAGCGUGGGGAGCAAACAGGAUUAGAUACCCUUGUAGUC